rnacentral:rRNA from 1 species
GGAGAGUUUGAUCCUGGCUCAGGACGAACGCUGGCGGCGUGCUUAACACAUGCAAGUCGAACGGACCGCUUGGGCGCUUUGCGUUUGGGUUGGUUAGUGGCGAACGGGUGAGUAACACGUGAGUAACCUGCCCCCUUCUUCGGGAUAACGUUCGGAAACGGAUGCUAAUACCGGGUAUUUACCUCAYRUCGCAUGGUGUGGGGUGGAAAGGUUUUUUCUGGUGGGGGAUGGGCUCGCGGCCUAUCAGCUUGUUGGUGGGGUGAUGGCCUACCAAGGCUUUGACGGGUAACCGGCCUGAGAGGGUGACCGGUCACAUUGGGACUGAGAUACGGCCCAGACUCCUACGGGAGGCAGCAGUGGGGAAUUUUGCACAAUGGGCGAAAGCCUGAUGCAGCGACGCCGCGUGAGGGAUGACGGCCUUCGGGUUGUAAACCUCUUUCGCUCAUGGUCAAGGCUAGUUUUUGUUCUAGUUGAGGGUAGUGGGUAAAGAAGCGCCGGCUAACUACGUGCCAGCAGCCGCGGUA